rnacentral:rRNA from 1 species
GAUUGCGAUCAUACCAGCACUAAUGCACCGGAUCCCAUCAGAACUCCACAGUUAAGCAUGCUUGGGCGAGAGUAGUACUAGAUGGGUGACCCCCUGGGAAGUCCUCGUGUUGCAACCCC